rnacentral:lncRNA from 1 species
CGCAAUCUCUGUCUUCACGUCAAGAAUCAUCUUUGUAGCCCCUCGCUCGUCCGGUGCCUGUUGAAUAUAAGACAUUAAAACACGUUCUGAGAUAUGAGAGUAGGAGGUUCGGAACGUCAGGUCCAGAAGAAAGGGAGAUUGUUGAACAUAGAUUUUAUUUAACAGCACCUUCUGCCCCUGUAAGAAGAAAUUCUUUGCCUCUGCGCAGGUGUCACCGAACCGGAUCUGCCCGAUGCCCGCCGUCAGCAUGUAUGGCCGCAUGACGAGCAGGAACAGCAUGUAGUUCGAUAUCGCCCGGCUUGUCGCGGGCAAGUGCGAGAGGCUGCUGGC